rnacentral:rRNA from 1 species
UACAGAGGUCUCAAGCGUUGUUCGGAUUCAUUGGGCGUAAAGGGUGCGUAGGUGGCGAGGUAAGUCAGGUGUGAAAUCUCGGAGCUCAACUCCGAAACUGCACUUGAUACUGCCCCCGCUCGAGUACUGGAGAGGAGAUUGGAAUUUACGGUGUAGCAGUGAAAUGCGUAGAUAUCGUAAGGAAGACCAGUGGCGAAGGCGAAUCUCUGGACAGUUACUGACACUGAGGCACGAAGGCCAGGGGAGGCAAACGGGAUAGACUACCCGUGUA